rnacentral:rRNA from 1 species
UACGAAGGGGGCUAGCGUUGCUCGGAAUUACUGGGCGUAAAGCGCACGUAGGCGGAUUGUUAAGUCGGGGGUGAAAUCCUGGAGCUCAACUCCAGAACUGCCUUCGAAACUGGCGAUCUUGAGUCCGGGAGAGGUGAGUGGAACUGCGAGUGUAGAGGUGAAAUUCGUAGAUAUUAGGAAGAACACCAGUGGCGAAGGCGGCUCACUGGCCCGGUACUGACGCUGAGGCGCGAAAGCGUGGGGAGCAAACAGG